GUGAGGAAUAUUGGUCAAUGGCCGGAAGGCUGAACCAGCCAUGCCGCGUGAAGGUCAGUGCCCUAUGGGCGUUAAACUUCUUUUGUGCGGGAGCAAUAAUGGUCACGUGUGGCCAGACGAGAGUACCGUACGAAUAAGCAUCGGCUAACUCCGUGCCAGCAGCCGCGGUAAUACGGGGGAUGCAAGCGUUAUCCGGAUUUAUUGGGUUUAAAGGGUGCGUAGGCUGUGAGGUAAGUCAGCGGUGAAAUGCCCCCGCUCAACGGGGUGAAGUGCCAUUGAUACUGCCUUGCUGGAAUGCGGAUGCCGUGGGAGGAAUGUGUGGUGUAGCGGUGAAAUGCAUAGAUAUCACACAGAACACCGAUUGCGAAGGCAUCUCACGAAUCCGCGAUUGACGCUGAUGCACGAAAGCGUGGGUAUCAAACAGGAUUAGAUACCCCAGUAGUCC
rnacentral:rRNA from 1 species